rnacentral:lncRNA from 1 species
CUCCAGUUAGAAGUCACUUGAGCUCUAUAAUUAAUUCACUUGGUUCUACCUCAUUUUAUUCAAAGAGCUCUCUUUUUUCCAAUCUUUAUAAUAUUUAAAAAAUAAUAAUAAUUAUGUGGUCCAAUGAUUGAUCGUCAUCCAAAUCACUUUGGAGGUCAACAAGUCAAGUACUUGUUAAGUCGAUGUAUAAGUCAAGAUGGGAUUGAUUGUUGAAAAUUAUGUCUCAA